UUAUUAUCAUUAUUGGCAGUGUAAAAAUGUUAUCAUUUGUGUUCGUGAGCUUGACGAAAGAAAGGGGAGAAGAGUUCGUGAGCUGCAGUAGUUUGUAAUAACGAUAAUUCUAAGCUUGACGAAACAAUGAGAGAAGAGUUCUCUUUUUUACAGUAAUAAUCAACAGCUACACACAAAGAUGCAAAAGAAGUCGCCUCACAAAGCCGAUCUAAUGAACAUAAAAUUACAGGUUCUCUUCUCCUCUUCAAGACUUCAACAAUGGACUAACGGAUGCAUUGGAUUUCUCAC
rnacentral:lncRNA from 1 species